rnacentral:rRNA from 1 species
AACGAACGCUGGCGGCAGGCCUAACACAUGCAAGUCGAACGCCCUAGCAAUAGGGAGUGGCGCACGGGUGCGUAACGCGUGGGAAUAUGCCCUUCACUGCGGAAUAACGUUUGGAAACGAACGCUAAUACCGCAUAAUGACUCCGGUCCAAGGAUUUAUCGGUGAAGGAUUAGCCCGCGUUAGAUUAGCUAGUUGGUGAGGUAAUGGCUCACCAAGGCGACGAUCUAUAGCUGGUCUGAGAGGAUGAUCAGCCACACUGGGACUGAGACACGGCCCAGACUCCUACGGGAGGCAGCAGUGAGGAAUAUUGGACAAUGGGCGCAAGCCUGAUCCAGCCAUGCCGCGUGAGUGAAGAAGGCCUCGGGUUGUAAGACUCUUUCUAGAUGUGAAGAUAAAUGACGGUAGCAUCAGAAGAAGACCCCGGCCUAAAUUACGUGCCAGCAGCC